AGGGGUGGCAAACGGGCGGGUCGAGUCGGAUAUGGGCCGGAUCGAAAAUGGGUUGACAAUAAACGGAUCAAUUACCCGAUCCGCUCAUAUUUAACACGGUUAAAAAUGGGUUACCCGACGGAUAAUAUGGAUAUCCAUCUUAUCCAUAUUAUCCAAAACUACUUCAAAGAUGUUGGCUUCAUGUAGCUAAUAUGGAGAAGAUUAAUUUACCAUUUUGUUCACAAAUCCAAUCCCUAGUACAUAGUUGCGCCUCAACAUUUGUGGGAAGAAUAGAACUUCGAAACUUUUCAAUGACACGACCUCCAAGAAAAUAUUUUUUAGAAACUACCCAUCCAACCCCACCCCCACCACCCACUCCCCAACCAAAUCCCAGCCCCACCCAACGACCACCCUCGAACACACUUCAUCUUCACCUACCCACCCCAACUCCACCCCAUCGCACACCACCGCUCCACCCAACCCUCACCAACCCCCCUCCCAAAGCGUCUCUUUCAUAUAUGACUACUUUGCACUUUGAAGACAACCACAAAAAGUGACUAUGUUUGUAAACUAGUCAUUUUUUAAAAGUGACACAAAAAAAUGGCUAUUUUUGUAAAUUGACCAUUUUUGAAAGGUGACAUAAAAAUGGUUAUUUUUGCAAAAAUAUAUUUCCUACAAAACGACCGGAAAUGCAAAUUUGCAAAAAUAGCAACUUUUUUUGUCAUUUUUCAAAAAAUGGCCACUUUACAAAAGUAGCCAUUUUUGUCACUUUAAAAAAAUGGCUACUUACAAAAGUGACCGCUAUCUUAGAAAUGGCACAUUGUAAAAAUUAGUUAGUUUUUAAAGUAAUUACUUUCACAAAAUGACUGCUUAUGAAAAUUGACUACUUUCAAAAAGUUACUAUU